rnacentral:rRNA from 1 species
UACAGAGGUCUCAAGCGUUGUUCGGAUUCAUUGGGCGUAAAGGGUGCGUAGGUGGCGCGCUAAGUCAGGUGUGAAAUUUCGGAGCUUAACUCCGAAACUGCAUUUGAUACUGGCGUGCUUGAGGACUGGAGAGGAGACUGGAAUUCACGGUGUAGCAGUGAAAUGCGUAGAGAUCGUGAGGAAGACCAGUGGCGAAGGCGGGUCGUCUGGACAGUUCCUGACACUGAGGCACGAAGGCCAGGGGAGCAAACAGG